GACGAACGCUGGCGGCGUGCCUAAUACAUGCAAGUAGAACGCUGAAGGAGGAGCUUGCUUCUCUGGAUGAGUUGCGAACGGGUGAGUAACGCGUAGGUAACCUGCCUGGUAGCGGGGGAUAACUAUUGGAAACGAUAGCUAAUACCGCAUAAUAGUAGAUGUUGCAUGACAUUUGCUUAAAAGGUGCAAUUGCAUCUACCAGAUGGACCUGCGUUGUAUUAGCUAGUUGGUGAGGUAACGGCUCACCAAGGCAACGAUACAUAGCCGACCUGAGAGGGUGAUCGGCCACACUGGGACUGAGACACGGCCCAGACUCCUACGGGAGGCAGCAGUAGGGAAUCUUCGGCAAUGGACGGAAGUCUGACCGAGCAACGCCGCGUGAGUGAAGAAGGUUUUCGGAUCGUAAAGCUCUGUUGUAAGAGAAGAACGAGUGUGAGAGUGGAAAGUUCACACUGUGACGGUAUCUGACCAGAAAGGGACGGCUAACUACGUG
rnacentral:rRNA from 1 species